rnacentral:lncRNA from 1 species
AUUUAAAAGGGUUUAAUAGGCUUUGUAUAGGUUUUUUUUAAUCGUUUUUUAGUUUCUUAUAUUGUAAUUAAUCUAAAAUGAUUUAUGAGAAAGUAGGCUAUAUAAAACUAAAAAUUACCUACAAUAUAUAGACCUACAACGUGAAAUAAACAGGAAACAAAAUUCAUGAAAGUAAAAUUAAGUAUUAAUUGUAUAAUAAUAAUAAGAACUUAAUAACAAUUAUAACUACUGUAAUUAUAGCAUUAUGCAAGAUAUUCAACUGAUAUGUACACACACACACAUAUAUAUAUAUGGCCCCUAAAAUAAAUAAAUGAAAAUGGAAAAAUAAAUUGUAAUGUUAGUUCGUAGGACUUCCCUAGUAAAUUUGAUUUGUACACAUCUGUGACCCUGGAGCACAGAAGCAGUGUUAAGUCGCUGGGGUAUAUGGUUUUUGUGGUCCAGGGUCACAUUUCAGUAACUUUUCUUUUGGUCUAAUACAAGUGUUAAGGUGAUAUUUGCAUUAAAAAAAAAUUCACUGGCUGUUAUACAAAAAUAAUUAUGCAGUGCAGUGCAUUGUUACCAUGAAUAGCUAUGAUUAUAAUCUGGCCAGUGAUGUGAUCCUUCUAACGCGUCCACAUCCACCUGCAUCUGAACCUCUCUAAUGGGCCUUAUUUCUCCUAAUCUCCUCGUCUCCUCUGGAAGUUCAUGGGCAAAUGGUAUGAUAUUGCGACUGCGUCCACACACCCGUGGAUGAAGCGUCACAAGGCAGACGCAGCCAUCGGCUCUAUGGAGCUGCAGUCCAGUGACUCAACACAGACCAUCAGCAUGACCCGGAUGCCCGCAGACAUGGCAGCUGACGUGCUAUGCAGCUGCGGCCCACUCUCAUCGAAGACUUCAAGACCCUGGUGGCUGAGCAGGGAAUGAGUGAAGACACUAAUCAAAAAGUACAAAGGUACCCUCACGACGCAAACCAAUGCAAAACACACUUUUAUUCAGAUCAGAUGUCAUUGUUUUUGGCUCUGUGUCGUCAGGUGAAUGUAUUCCAGGUGAGCAGGUCACACCAGAGCCACAGAUCCAGAGGGCGAGGAGGAAUGUGGUCCUGCCGGCCCCUGAGGAGGGAUCGGGGGACGAUACACCCAUCUUCAGAGGACCUGUUUCACAUGGUUAGUGCAAAUCGUCACAUGACCAGAGCAGUUGAAUUCCUGUUUGCGCCUUGAGAAGAUGAAGACUGCAUCAAAGCUCCAAAACAAAAGGCUAGUAAAGUAUGUAUAUAAAGAACAUAAAGAUAAGAUAAAGAUUUUUGGUCAACAUUAUCUUUAAGUUGUCUAGUACGGAAGAGGAUUAGGACCAA